GACGAACGCUGGCGGCGUGCUUAACACAUGCAAGUCGAACGGAAAGGCCCUGCUUUUGUGGGGUGCUCGAGUGGCGAACGGGUGAGUAACACGUGAGUAACCUGCCCUUGACUUUGGGAUAACUUCAGGAAACUGGGGCUCAUACCGGAUAGGAGCUCCUGCUGCAUGGUGGGGGUUGGAAAGUUUCGGCGGUUGGGGAUGGACUCGCGGCUUAUCAGCUUGUUGGUGGGGUAGUGGCUUACCAAGGCUUUGACGGGUAGCCGGCCUGAGAGGGUGACCGGCCACAUUGGGACUGAGAUACGGCCCAGACUCCUACGGGAGGCAGCAGUGGGGAAUAUUGCACAAUGGGCGGAAGCCUGAUGCAGCAACGCCGCGUGCGGGAUGACGGCCUUUGGGUUGUAAACCGCUUUCGCUUGUGACGAAGCGUGAGUGACGGUAAUGGGUAAAGAAGCACCGGCUAACUACGUG
rnacentral:rRNA from 1 species